rnacentral:rRNA from 1 species
GACGAACGCUGGCGGCGUGCUUAACACAUGCAAGUCGAACGGAAAGGCCCUGCUUUUGUGGGGUGCUCGAGUGGCGAACGGGUGAGUAACACGUGAGUAACCUGCCCUUGACUUUGGGAUAACUUCAGGAAACUGGGGCUAAUACCGGAUAGGAGCUCCUGCUGCAUGGUGGGGGUUGGAAAGUUUCGGCGGUUGGGGAUGGACUCGCGGCUUAUCAGCUUGUUGGUGGGGUAGUGGCUUACCAAGGCUUCGACGGGUAGCCGGCCUGAGAGGGUGACCGGCGACAUUGGGACUGAGAGACGGACCAGACUCCUACGGGAGGCAGCAGUGGAGAGUAUUGCACAAUGGGCGGAAGCCUGAUGCAGCAACGCCGCGUGCGGGAUGACGGCCUUCGGGUUGUAAACCGCUUUCGCCUGUGACGAAGCGUGAGUGACGGUAAUGGGUAAAGAAGCACCGGCUAACUACGUG